UAUUGUCCCUUGCCGUGGCUGUCUAUCUCCCUUCUACUAGCACAGUGUUUGUUUUCACUUUUUUUUUUUUUUUAUUGUCUCUCGUAUUUCUUCCUUUUUUCUUUCUCAAAAACUCUCUUUUUUUGUAGAUUUUAAUUUAAUAAUUUCAUCAAUUGAUAGAUUCAAUAUUGUUUAACGUGGUUUGAGUGGGCUCUUAUCCCCCCCCCCACCCUGGUUUUGGGUGCUGAAAGUCGAAAUAUUGUUAUAAAAUGAGUUGUUUGGACUUUCAUUAGUGUAAUUUCUUUGUUGGUUUAAUUUUUUACUUGGUAUUGGUAUUUUUUAUUUGGAAAAUGGGUUGGUCUUGGCUAGUUUUUACGGGUCUAAAGCUUGAUCCUUUUUGCUUAAUUUAUGGGUAUUUGAGUUAGGGAUGUGAUAUUAUCAGCACAGAAGCAUGGAAAGUAUCAAACCUGGAAGCUGCUAUUUGUAUGUUAUCUUCUUCUUUUUUUUUUGCAGUUUUAAUGAACGUUUGGAUCUGAAAUUGAGGAGAGAACAUGAAAAUUGCUUCAGUUUUAGUUUAGUUUGAUCUCUAUUUAUUGGAUAAUAACUCUGCAGGGGUGUUUUUCUUAUUCUAGAACUCUACUUCAUUGUGCUUUGUGCUAUCAUAGAUUCCUGGAAGUGGGAUCGUUUCAUCUGCGUGUGUGGGUGUUAAGUCUUGUAAUUGCAUGGAUUCGACUCUUUGAGGCCAUGCAUUAGUGUGUGCUUCUUUUUAUGAAAAUUGGAUGCUUUUUGAAAGUUUAGCCUUGGUCUAACAGAUUCAAAGAUUGCACAGUUUGUUUUCUUAUGCCCUGGGAAGUGGUGUCUGUAGGAGCUUUAAAUCUUGAUACCUUUUUUUUUCAAGCCAUGGCUUGGCUUGUUUUUGUCCAAUUGGAUUUUUGAAGUAACUGUGCAGUUGAUGUAUAGUUUUAUGCUCAUGCUUACUUGAACUUGGGUCUUAAAAUUUGUGUAGUUGGACCGAGAAUGGAAAAACUGUAACUUUUACUCCUAUAUGACUUGGUUUAGUGAUUUUUUCUUAUCUCAAUUUACGUAGGCGGAGUGAGAUUCCAUUUUGAUCUUCUUUAAUUUUAUAAAAGUUCCAGAACUACUUGAUUUAGUCAGCUGUGGCCGCCACUUGAAGAUUUUCAAAAAUGGACUCUCAAUGGGACUACAAGAACUUUGGAAAUGCCCCACCAGGACAAAGCAGCGUCACAAAGCCACAAGAGAAUCCUUUCUUGAUCCGCCAGUCUUCAGUGUACUCGUUAACCUUCGAUGAGUUCCAAAAUACCUGGGGUGGUGGGCCGCGGAAGGAUUUUGGAUCAAUGAACAUGGAAGAACUAUUGAAAAACAUAUGGACUGCCGAAGAGACUCAAGCAAUGACAAAUACACUUGGUGUGGGGAGUGAAGGAAGUGCCCUGGGUGGGAAUUUGCAGAGACAAGGAUCUUUAACUUUGCCUAGGACACUAAGUCAAAAGACUGUUGAUGAGCUUUGGAGAGACCUGAUCAAAGAAACUAGUGGUGCUGCUGAAGAUGGGAGUGGUAGUGCGGGAUCCAAUUUACCACAAAGGCAACAGACUUUAGGAGAGACAACUUUGGAGGAGUUCUUGGUUAGGGCCGGGGUAGUGAGAGAGGAUACUCAACAAAUUGGAAGGCCUAAUAAUAGUGGAUUCUUUGGUGAACUAUCCCUGCUAAACAACAACAACGACUCUAGUUUGGCCAUUGGGUGUCAACAGCCAAAUGGAAACAAUGGGCUCAUGGGAACUCGGAGAAUGGAGAACAAUGGUAAUUUAGUUGCUAACCAGCCUCCUAGUUUAACACUCGAUGCAGGUGGAAUCAGACUCACUCAGCAACUACCGCAGUCACGGCAGCUGUCACAGCAGCAGCAGCUGCUCUUCCCCAAGCCUGCAGCAACUGUGGCAUUUGCAUCCCCUUUACAUUUGUCAAACAAUGCUCAGCUUGCUAGCCCUGGAGUGAGACGAUCGGUUGUUGGAAUUGCAGACCGAUCUGUGAACAGUGGUCUAGCUCACAGUGGAGGAAUGAGAAUUGUUAGUUUAGCAACUGGAGGCGUUACAAUUGCAACAGGAUCUUCUGCAAAUAGGGUAUCACCGGAUGUGAUUGCGAAGAGUAAUGCUGAUACAUCUUCACUAUCGCCAGUUCCAUAUGUAUUUAGCCGGGGAAGAAAAGCCAGCACAGCUCUGGAGAAGGUUGCUGAGAGAAGGCAGAGGAGAAUGAUUAAAAACAGAGAAUCAGCUGCAAGAUCACGGACUCUCAAGCAGCUUUCCAGUAUAGUGUGGUGAAAAGCACUGCAAACUAUUUGAUGGGAAUCAGUUGAGGCUUUGCUCCUGGGGGUCCCCUCUCUUAGCAGUUUUUUUAGCAUGCUGGUUUCAAGCAUCCAUCAAUAUGAUUUAUAUAAUGUUCCAUCUCAAGUUGGACACACAAAAUUUUGCUGCUCCCAGGCCCAUACACAAAAGCUGGAAGCUGAAGUUGCAAAACUCAAAGAACUGAAUGAAGUAUUACAGAGAAAACAGGCUGAAAUAAUUGAAAUGCAGCAAAA